AUUGAACGCUGGCGGCAGGCCUAACACAUGCAAGUCGAGCGGAUGAAGGGAGCUUGCUCCUGGAUUCAGCGGCGGACGGGUGAGUAAUGCCUAGGAAUCUGCCUGGUAGUGGGGGAUAACGUCCGGAAACGGGCGCUAAUACCGCAUACGUCCUGAGGGAGAAAGUGGGGGAUCUUCGGACCUCACGCUAUCAGAUGAGCCUAGGUCGGAUUAGCUAGUUGGUGGGGUAAAGGCCUACCAAGGCGACGAUCCGUAACUGGUCUGAGAGGAUGAUCGGUCACACUGGAACUGAGACACGGUCCAGGCUCCUACGGGACGCAGCAGUGGGGAAUGGUGGACAAUGGGCGAAAGCCUGAUCCAGCCAUGCCGCGUGUGUGAAGAAGGUCUUCGGAUUGUAAAGCACUUUAAGUUGGGAGGAAGGGCAGUAAGUUAAUACCUUGCUGUUUUGACGUUACCAACAGAAUAAGCACCGGCUAACUUCGUG
rnacentral:rRNA from 1 species